AGUGAACGCUGGCGGUAGGCCUAACACAUGCAAGUCGAACGGCAGCACAGUAAGAGCUUGCUCUUACGGGUGGCGAGUGGCGGACGGGUGAGGAAUACAUCGGAAUCUACUUUUUCGUGGGGGAUAACGUAGGGAAACUUACGCUAAUACCGCAUACGACCUACGGGUGAAAGCAGGGGAUCUUCAGACCUUGCGCGAUUGAAUGAGCCGAUGUCGGAUUAGCUAGUUGGCGGGGUAAAGGCCCACCAAGGCGACGAUCCGUAGCUGGUCUGAGAGGAUGAUCAGCCACACUGGAACUGAGACACGGUCCAGACUCCUACGGGAGGCAGCAGUGGGGAAUAUUGGACAAUGGGCGCAAGCCUGAUCCAGCCAUACCGCGUGGGUGAAGAAGGCCUUCGGGUUGUAAGGCCCUUUUGUUGGGAAAGAAAAGCAGCAGGUUAAUACCCCGCUGUUCUGACGGUACCCAAAGAAUAAGCACCGGCUAACUUCGUG
rnacentral:rRNA from 1 species